AAGUUUUAUAGUUUAAGAAAAACUGUUAAAUUGCAAAUUUAAUAAUACUCACGUAGUUAAAACUUU
rnacentral:tRNA from 1 species